rnacentral:rRNA from 1 species
AUACGAAGGGUGCAAGCGUUGUUCGGAAUAACUGGGCGUAAAGGGCGCGUAGGCGGGUUGGUAAGUUAGAAGUGAAAUCCCCGGGCUUAACCCGGGAACUGCUUCUAAUACUGCCAGUCUUGAAUGUUCGAGAGGGUGGUGGAAUUCCCGGUGUAGAAGUGAAAUUCGUAGAUAUCGGGAGGAACAUCCGAGGCGAAGGCGGCCACCUGGCGAAACAUUGACGCUGAGGCGCGAAAGCGUGGGGAUCAAACAGGAUUAGAUACCCUGGUAGUCCACGCCGUAAACGAUGGAUGCUAGAUGUUCGGAGAGUUAACCCUCUGAGUAUCGAAGCUAACGCAUUAAGCAUCCCGCCUGGGAAGUACAGUCGCAAGGCUGAA